rnacentral:rRNA from 1 species
AGAGUUUGAUCCUGGCUCAGGAUGAACGCUAGCGGCAGGCUUAACACAUGCAAGUCGAGGGGCAGCGAGGGUAAUAGCAAUAUUACCUGUCGGCGACCGGCGCACGGGUGCGUAACGCGUAUGCAACCUACCAUCAACAGGGGGAUAACACUGAGAAAUUGGUACUAAUACCCCAUAAUAUCUCAUGCGGCAUCGCAUGGGGUUGAAAACUCCGGUGGUUGAUGAUGGGCAUGCGUUGUAUUAGCUGGUUGGUGAGGUAACGGCUCACCAAGGCGACGAUACAUAGGGGGACUGAGAGGUUAACCCCCCACAUUGGUACUGAGACACGGACCAAACUCCUACGGGAGGCAGCAGUGAGGAAUAUUGGUCAAUGGACGCAAGUCUGAACCAGCCAUGCCGCGUGCAGGAUGACGGCUCUAUGAGUUGUAAACUGCUUUUGUACGAGGGUAAACCCCGAUACGUGUAUUGGGUUGAAAGUAUCGUACGAAUAAGGAUCGGCUAACUCCGUGCCAGCAGCCGCGGUAAUACGGAGGAUCCGAGCGUUAUCCGGAUUUAUUGGGUUUAAAGGGAGCGUAGAUGGAUGUUUAAGUCAGUUGUGAAAGUUUGCGGCUCAACCGUAAAAUUGCAGUUGAUACUGGAUAUCUUGAGUGCAGUUGAGGCAGGCGGAAUUCGUGGUGUAGCGGUGAAAUGCUUAGAUAUCACGAAGAACUCCGAUUGCGAAGGCAGCCUGCUAAGCUGCAACUGACAUUGAGGCUCGAAAGUGUGGGUAUCAAACAGGAUUAGAUACCCUGGUAGUCCACACGGUAAACGAUGAAUACUCGCUGUUUGCGAUAUACUGCAAGCGGCCAAGCGAAAGCGUUAAGUAUUCCACCUGGGGAGUACGCCGGCAACGGUGAAACU